CCUACGGGGGGCAGCAGUGGGGAAUAUUGCACAAUGGGCGGAAGCCUGAUGCAGCGACGCCGCGUGAGGGAUGAAGGCCUUCGGGUUGUAAACCUCUUUCAGCAGGGACGAAGCGUGAGUGACGGUACCUGCAGAAGAAGCACCGGCUAACUACGUGCCAGCAGCCGCGGUAAUACGUAGGGUGCGAGCGUUGUCCGGAAUUACUGGGCGUAAAGAGUUCGUAGGCGGUUUGUCGCGUCGUUUGUGAAAACCCGGGGCUCAACUUCGGGCUUGCAGGCGAUACGGGCAGACUUGAGUGUUUCAGGGGAGACUGGAAUUCCUGGUGUAGCGGUGAAAUGCGCAGAUAUCAGGAGGAACACCGGUGGCGAAGGCGGGUCUCUGGGAAACAACUGACGCUGAGGAACGAAAGCGUGGGUAGCAAACAGGAUUAGA
rnacentral:rRNA from 1 species